rnacentral:rRNA from 1 species
CAGUCGCCGCGGGAAUACGUAGGUCCCGAGCGUUGUCCGGAUUUAUUGGGCGUAAAGCGAGCGCAGGCGGUUAGAUAAGUCUGAAGUUAAAGGCUGUGGCUUAACCAUAGUACGCUUUGGAAACUGUUUAACUUGAGUGCAAGAGGGGAGAGUGGAAUUCCAUGUGUAGCGGUGAAAUGCGUAGAUAUAUGGAGGAACACCGGCGGCGAAAGCGGCUCUCUGGCUUGUAACUGACGCUGAGGCUCGAAAGCGUGGGGAGCAAACAGGAUUAGAUACCCCGGUAGUCCCUGUCUCUUAUACC